rnacentral:lncRNA from 15 species
AUGUUUAUUCUUCCAGAAGCUCCAGCUCUCUUCUGCAGAGCUCCCCGGGUUCAAGCAGCUGUCUGUGGGCGAGUGGUAUUCAGUCAGUUUCAAUCUGCAAUCCUGGAGGCCACUGAAUCUUCCAUGUUGGUCCUUCUGUGGACCUUCUGUGGAAUACCAACCAUGAUGAUGAUGUUUCUUCUUCUUCCAGGUAAAGAUAUGAGAAAGGCUAAAUUGUCGCGGAGUCGAUCCCUCAGCAGUCAGCCAACAACGUCCAAAUCUACCAACUCAGACCGACCCCUGAAGGUGAAAGAGCUAAGCAGUAGUUCUGUACCUGGGAAGUCCUCAAUGUUGUCGAGCAAAGACGACUCCCUGAGGACAGCCCACUUCACCAUGGCAACCCAGUCCACCUCCUCCAUGCCGGUCCUGAUCCGCAGCAACACCACCAGCCUCCUGGACAGGGCCAGCACGCUGGACCACAGAACCGGCACCCUAGACCAGAGGGAUCAUAGAACCAUUACUCUGGACCACAGAGCCAGUAACAUGGACCAGAGAGACCACAGAACCAGUAACAUGGACCAGAGAGACCACAGAACCAGUAACACGGACCACAGGAACAAUAUGAUGGAGCAGAGAACCGGUACAAUGGACCACAGAACCAGUACCCUGGACCAGAGAGACCAUAGAACCAAUACCCUGGACCAGAGAGACCAUAGAACCAGUACCCUGGACCAGAGAGACCAUAGAACCAGUACCUUGGACCAGCGCAGUAAAACGAUGGACCGUGGCUGCGGGGUGAAGGACAGCCAGUCCAGAAAGCUGUCGAUAAACAGGAAGUCAAACUCUUUCAGCGUCCAGUCAGGACGAGACUGAAGAUGACAAUGUCAUACCUCCACCAGGCCAUCAGCCGAUCAACAGUCAGGGAGCGGUUUCCAUUCAAACAGCAGCUUCACGAGUUAAAGGACGAAACACGCUUCAGAACAUUACCCAGAAUGCAACAGGACUGCCUCCUCUGUACCUCACAGAGACUGCUUUUAUUUUCUCAGCACUGUGUAUCCAACGAGCUCAUCCUGUCACCUGAUUGGUUCAGUAAAUGCCUCAUACAAACUGCUACUGUGUUCUUAUUGGUUGUCUGGAUAUGAUGUCACUGCGGAUGUUUAUGAACACAUCAGAGAUUGAGAAGAUUUUAAUGUUUAAUAUUUUACAGUAUACAGACGGUAGCACGGUUUGUUUUGUGAGUACAAAUACUUUGUUACUUCACUUAAAGGGACAUUGUGUAGUGUUUUAAGUAUUGUAUUAGCUAAAAUCAAUGUUUUCAUUCAUAAAUGUGUCCUCAUUGGUGUAAAAUUACCUCUGCCAAUGAUCUGACUUAUCCUCGUAAGGGAAGAAUUUCUUAUCUGUAUAUACAUUGGACGGGCAAGUCCAUGGAGGCUUCCAUGUCGUACCGCCAUUUUGAAAAACUAUAAUCACCGAGAGGGACAUAAAGCACUAGCCUACCUGUCUAACUAAUCCACAACGCGUUCUCGUUCAGAGCCAGCGUCACGUGACUGAAACCAGCUAUAACGGAGAAGGAGAUCAGUGAGAGGCGCUUGUCACUGCCCGGCACAUUUGAAAGUCUGCACUGCACUUUAGUUAAUAAUGGAGGAUCAUACUUAUGCCGAGCCACAGGAGAAGGAAUCCUCGUCACCAACAAAGCCAAAAAGGGAAUUAAAAAGGCAAUGUGACCGCCAAAUUCAAAAAACGAGGGUAAACAUCGGGGUAGCUUUUCCCAGGUGGAAAGAGCUAAUGAAGGAGAAAGACUUUCAAAGGGACGCUGAAGUUGCCUGCUUUCUCCUCCACAGGUAGGCUUCUUGGUACAUAACAGCUACCGUAGUUGCAAUACGCAUUUGAAAACCUGAGGCACUAGAGAGCACUAUUCGUUUGAAUGCAAAAUACAAUUUCACCACUAGAUGGGAGAAAUUCCUACACAAUGUCCCUUUAAGUAGUUUAUUUUCAGGUUUCUGAACUUUUUACACAAAUAUCUGAACUUUCUAGUGUUUACAGUUUCAGAACAGACUGAGAGAAUUAUUGAUUAUUAUUAUUUUAUUUUAUAUCAUUGAUUGGCAUCCAAACAUGGAGACGAGUUCUUAUGAACUUAUUUCACAAACAACCGGCAGAAGAAAUGUUGUACUUUUCGCAGUAGCUGUUUACAUCAGUUACUAAAUGAACAUCAUGCUGUAUGGAAGAAGACUGAAACUAGAGACUGAGACCAGAAACUCAUCAGGAAACUGUUUACUGAGCUCAUACAUCUCCAUAAGACUCAAUACUAUCAGAGUGGAGCUGCCCUCUGCUGGCUGUUAGAGAGAAUGCAGGUUAAAUUUAAACUGUCAGUGGAUAAAGCCCGAAGGCCCAGAGAGGAAAUACAUUUAUACUUCAAUUUAUAUAAGUUAUAUAACUACUUCUUAUAUAGUAUCUAUCGUAGUAUCGAUACUAAUAUAACUUAUAUAGUAGUACUAAUAUAACUUAUAUAGUAGUACUAAUACUAAUAUAACUUUUAUAGUAGUACUAAUACUA